CAAUAGCGUAUAUUAAAGUUGUUGCGGUUAAAAAGCUCGUAGUUGGAUUUCUGCUGAGAACGACCGGUCCGCCCUUUGGGUGUGUAUCUGGCUCUUUCUUGGCAUCUUCUUGGUGAACGUUGCUGCACUUGACUGUGUGGAGCGCUACCCAGGACUUUUACUUUGAGGAAAUUAGAGUGUUUCAAGCAGGCAUACGCCUUGAAUACAUUAGCAUGGAAUAAUAAGAUAGGACCUCGGUUCUAUUUUGUUGGUUUCUAGAGCUGAGGUAAUGAUUAAUAGGGAUAGUUGGGGGCAUUCGUAUUUAACUGUCAGAGGUGAAAUUCUUGGAUUUGUUAAAGACGGACUACUGCGAAANGANNNGCCAAGGAUGUUUUCAUNGA
rnacentral:rRNA from 1 species